GAUCCACUGCCGCAGUGUACGCCCUGGCAAUUCGCGGAUGAUCGAUGAUUGCCGAGAGUACAAAGGUGAUUUACAGAAGGAGCGAGCGAGUGAACGAAACGGUCGAUAAUCCGAAGUUUCAAGGCUCCCACUUCGAACGUUUGAUAGACUGCGACAAAUGUGCAUGGCAAACUACCUAAAGAUCACUAUAAAGAUCGAACGGCGAUCGAAAUAGAAGUAAUUUUAGCGCCAAGCGUCAAAACAGUGAAUGUUAAAAUAGUAAUUAGAAAGAGAGAGAAAUAGCGCUGACUGAGUCGCGCUACGCGUGUUUGAGAAGAUAAUAAAUACGUCACGUGGUUGGAAAAAUCAGCAAAGAUGAAAAGACGCUUUGUCACGGUCCGAUGUUCUUUUAUGCGAUUUGUAUAAAAAAAGAAAAAAAAAAAGAUCAAACGCAAUGAAUUCGGCUCGACGAUGACUCGAAUUUCGUCUCUUUGCGUGCUGAUGAUCUCAAUAAUCACUUAUCAUGUUGUAAAGAACGCAAAAAAAAUCUUAUUUGUACUUAUACAAUUAUGCAAUACCGUUAGAUAACGAACGCCCGACGACAUGCUCGUUGCAAUGAGUUGACGAUUUGUCGCAGAAUUUGUUAGUUUAUUGAUUGUUAAUGUAUCUGUAAAUUUAUUUAAAUCUGUGAGGCAUCGUGCGAGGCAUUGAUUGAUGAUCGCUGUCGUGGUGUUCUCCAGAUCUCUUAUACGCAGUAUGGAUUAAUCUGACAGGAACUUUUAUCAAGAUAUAAUAACGUGUUCAUUGUGAAAACAAAGUUUUAAUUUAAAUAGCAAAAGUGCAAGUACAUACAUUACGAUACAUACAUUAACAUUUUUCUAAUGGCUGUACUAGAUAAGAUAGUACAUACAUAUCACUCUAACUUAAUCUGUUAAACCAAAUGCAACUUAUAAAAAGCAAAAAUAAUACAAAGUGC